rnacentral:rRNA from 1 species
UAGGGGUAUUGCCAAUGGAGGGAACUCUGACGCAGCGACGCCGCGUGAGUGAUGAAGGUCUUCGGAUGUAAAGCUCUGUCCUUGGGGAAGUAGAUGACGGUACCCAAGGAGGAAGCCCCGGCUAACUACGUGCCAGCAGCCGCGGUUAUACGUAGGGGGCAAGCGUUGUCCGGAAUUAUUGGGCGUAAAGGGUGCGUAGGCGGCCUUUUAAGUCAGAUGUGAAAGACCACGGCUUAACCGUGGGGUUGCAUUUGAAACUGGAGGGCUUGAGUAUCGGAGAGGGUAGUGGAAUUCCCAGUGUAGCGGUGGAAUGCGUAGAUAUUGGGAGGAACACCAGUGGCGAAGGCGACUACCUGGACGAAAACUGACGCUGAUGCACGAAAGCUAGGGGAGCAAACAGGAUUAGAUACCU